AAUCAGGACAAUUCUGUCUUAGCCUCUAGCUGGUCUAGUGGCUGGGACUCCUGGUCCUCCUCCAGGCUGCCCAGGUUCAAUUCCUGAGCAGAGAAUUAAGAUCUCACUUCAAGCGGUCACUCCCUGCUGUCUCUCUCAGAUCAAGGGGACUCUCAAAGCAGCUUCCAGACUGAGCUUGUGCCUGGCCCACUGCGCCCGGGCUGGAAGCGCUGUCUGGCGAGGAUGCGGGCGGAUGUAGGGGAGGGAGGAAAAAGCGAAAGGAGAGAAAAGUCCCAAACAGGGUUACAGAGCCCUGUGCAUUGUGAAGUCUUCCAAUACGCUGCAGAUAGACUCUUCUAGAAUGUCUGUAGAAACGACUUAAUAACAUACAGAACCCACGCGACAGGCUGACACUUGGAACAAACAAGUUGCGACAAUAGAUGGCUCCCCUGUGAAGACUGGCGGAAGGCAGACAGGUACCCUCCCUCCAGCCGACCGGACGAGGCUACAGCCUGUGAGGGUCUUGGGCGCUGCAGCCCCACGCAACACUCAGGAGAAGGCUGGCCCCCAGGACGUGGCCCCUCGGCCAGGUUGAAUAAACAGCUAGAUGACUCCCAGAACUCAUUAAAGUGCUUGCUUACUGUUACCUGUUUAUUAUCAAGGACACGACGUGGGAACAGCCAGAUGGCAAGGUCUGGGGAGGGCUGCAGAGCUUCCACGCCCUCUCCAGGCGGCCCUCCCUCCCAG